UCCCUGAUGGACCAGCAGCUAAGACUCUGUGCUCCCAAUGCAGGGAAUCUGGGUUCAAUCCCUGGUCAGGGAA
rnacentral:tRNA from 1 species